rnacentral:rRNA from 1 species
GGCGGCAGCGCCUAACACAUGCAAGCUCCGAGCGGCAGCACAAGUGAGUUUACUCAUGAGGUGGCGAGCGGCGGACGGGUGAGUAAUGCCUAGGGAUCUGCCCAGUCGAGGGGGAUAACAGUUGGAAACGACUGCUAAUACCGCAUACGCCCUACGGGGGAAAGAGGGGGACUUUCGGGCCUCUCGCGAUUGGAUGAACCUAGGUGGGAUUAGCUAGUUGGUGAGGUAAUGGCUCACCAAGGCGACGAUCCCUAGCUGUUCUGAGAGGAUGAUCAGCCACACUGGGACUGAGACACGGCCCAGACUCCUACGGGAGGCAGCAGUGGGGAAUAUUGCACAAUGGGGGAAACCCUGAUGCAGCCAUGCCGCGUGUGUGAAGAAGGCCUUCGGGUUGUAAAGCACUUUCAGUAGGGAGGAAAGGGUAAGUCCUAAUACGGCUUAUCUGUGACGUUACCUACAGAAGAAGGACCGGCUAACUCCGUGCCAGCAGCCGCGGUAAUACGGAGGGUCCGAGCGUUAAUCGGAAUUACUGGGCGUAAAGCGUGCGCAGGCGGUUUGUUAAGCGAGAUGUGAAAGCCCUGGGCUCAACCUAGGAAUAGCAUUUCGAACUGACAAACUAGAGUCUUGUAGAGGGGGGUAGAAUUCC